UACGAGGGGGGCUAGCGUUGUUCGGAAUUACUGGGCGUAAAGGGCGCGUAGGCGGUGUGUCAAGUCAGGCGUGAAAGCCCCGGGCUCAACCUGGGAACCGCGCUUGAGACUGGCACGCUAGAGUUCGGGAGAGGAUGGUGGAAUUCCCAGUGUAGAGGUGAAAUUCGUAGAUAUUAGGAAGAACACCAGUGGCGAAGGCGGCUCACUGGCCCGGUACUGACGCUGAGGCGCGAAAGCGUGGGGAGCAAACAGG
rnacentral:rRNA from 1 species